CAAUGAAGAAAGCAUGGUAAUGUGCACAGAAAUUAAAUUGGGUCUCUAGGCCUGCCCUUUCUGAUGUCAUUUGGCUUUGAUUUGGGGGCAUGGUUUCCCAGCAAAAUA